rnacentral:rRNA from 1 species
GACAGAGGUGGCUAGCGUUGUUCGGAUUCAUUGGGUGUAAAGGGUGCGUAGGCGGUUUGGAAAGUCAGAUGUGAAAUCCUACAGCUCAACUGUAGAACUGCAUUUGAAACUCCCAGGCUAGAGUGCGAGAGAGGUGAAGGGAAUUCCCGGUGUAAGGGUGAAAUCUGCAGAGAUCGGGAAGAACACCAGUAGCGAAGGCGCUUCACUGGCUCGCAACUGACGCUGAGUGCACGAAGGCGUGGGGAGCAAACGGGAUUAGAUACCCCGGUAGUCCACGCAGUAAACGAUGUUCACUAGGUGUUGGUUUCGUUUAUUCGAGAUCGGCGCCGACGCUAACGCAUUAAGUGAACCACCUGGGGAGUACACUCGCAAGGGUGAA